AGAUAGGCUACUGAGCCAUUUGGAACCCACGAAACAUCUUCUCCAUCCCUGUGCCAGGACUGUGGAAGUAGGCUCACUCUCUCCUGCUGAUGCUGCAGCUCUUGGGAUGCCAGGAGGGGAACCGCCUAAGGAAGAUGCUGAGAGAAGAGAGAGGGAGGGAUACAGACCAGGCCCAGAUGCGUUUGCGUUGAAUCUGAAGUCGCACUAUUCAGAAUAGCCAAGAUGUGGAAACAACCUAAAGAUCUAUAACCAGAUGAGUGCAUAAAAUAAAUGUGAUGUAUACAUACAAGGAAAUAUUAUUCAGAUUUAAAAAAGAAAGAAAUUCUGCCAUAUGGGACAACAUAAGUGAGCCUUGAGGACAUCAUGCACAAGGUCAAACAACCUAUUGUUUCUGGUGAAAAUGAAACGGUCCUUUUUCAUACAUGCAGGGUAUAAUUAAAAUAUAUCAAGAUAUGUGGCAGUGAUCUUUGAGACACUCAAACACUGACCAGCAAGUAACAGCUCUAAUCAACCUGUGAAGAGACUGACAAGUAGAAUUUCUCAGUUGCCGGCAUACAGAGACCGUGCCAAGAUACAUGUGUGAAUAUAUGCAAUAAAGGAGAGAUAGGGAAUCUGAACUGUGGAGCUGAGAUAUCCACCAACUUUCAGUUACUUUACUCAAUUUUUAUACUGCUGUUAAAGGAUUAUUUAGGCAGUUGGUGCCUAACAAUAACACUGUUUAUCACAUAGAGUCAUUAAGGAUAUGUGGAUAACAUUAUUGCACAAAAUGGCCUGACAAGCUCUAGAGAUAUUUUAUUAAUAGCUAUAAAACCUCUGGAAUGUACUUUUUGGUUUGCUUUGAUUGAAAGGAAAUACCACUAAGCAUAUGAUGCAGGGGAAAUUUGACCUGAGAUAAGAAAAUGUAAGAAAAAUAAAAUGAAAGGACCUAUUCGAGUGUGAGAAAUAAAAUAAAGGUAUACCUACAUAAACAUAGGCUUUCACCUUGUUAUGUAUUUCAUUCUUUACGGAGCAAAAAAAAUGGAUGAAGGAAAAUCAGGAGGCAGUGCAAUAGAAAACCUUAAUUGAUUAGAAUGCCAAUGGCAAAAAGAGACAACUGGAAGAAUCAGUUAAAGAUUAGAGUUAUGCUAUUGCAAGCAAAACAAUAUUAAAUGAUGCAGCACAGGCAAAUAUUAGAAAAUAAAAUACGAACAGCUGAGAGCCUGUUGUUAAGGAAAGUUUAUUUGGCAAGCUAUUCUGUACUUUCUGAUAGGUCUGUUUACUGACAAACUGAUUCCGAUUUACCCACCAAAUUAUGAUGCUAGAAUUCUCAAUCUCUCUCUCUCUAUCUCUUUUCUCUCUCUCUCCCCCUCUCUCUCUCUCUCACAGACACACACACACACACACACACACACACACACACACACACACUCUUAUAUAGAUACAAAACCUAGUCAGAAUUAAAUACUAUUUUGCCCUUAAAGGUAUUGUUGUUAGGGAGUGGGGAAUGUUAUCUCCAGGAAAUAAACAUGAAGAGAAAGAAGUAAGGUCAUACAAAUGUACAAUGUCUCUAUCAUG